CAUUGAUAUGGACAGCUGUUGAUGAAAAUGAUGGCUGGAGAGGGUUAAAUUUCUUUUUGUUAAGCCAGGUUAAUCUUGUAUAUUUUUCCCUCAGAAUAUUCUUUCGAGACCCUCUCCAUUCAUUACAGUUUCCUGGUUGCAGCAGGGAGAAAUAUUGGAUGAGACGUUUUUUUAAAAUGCAAAAUUUGUUUUUACUUUAAAUUGAAAUUUGGACAGCUACACAGGCCAUUAACAAAGUUUGUUCUCUCCUCAGAUUCAAGGUCGUGAAACGGAAGACUCCAAACCAGACCACCAUUGACAGAUUACCUGUUGGGAGUCUCGUGACCACCACUUUCAUCCCAUUUUACUUCACCUCAGUACCAUCCUCCGUGGUAAUCACCACAUUCUCCACACGUUUGACUGUCUUCAUCAUUCACAUUCAAGGUCGUGAAACGGAAGACUCCAAACCAGACCACCAUUGACAGAUUACCUGUUGGGAGUCUCGUGACCACCACUUUCAUCCCAUCUUACCUCACCUCAGUACCAUCCUCCGUGGUAAUCACCACAUUCUCCACACUUUUGACUGUCUCCAUCAUUCACAUACUGUACAUAUCAACAGUUGAUUGACGGUUGGAAGUUCCCAUCACACUUGUCAUCAAACCAGACAGCUUUCAACCAGAAUCUUCCAGGUGUAAAAAAAAAAAAGUCCUCGAUUUUCAGUACGGUAUAUGUUUUGCGUUCUUUGUAUAAAAGACUUCUAUACACUCCUUUCAUUUUCAGACGUCUUGUUGGACUGAAAUAUUUUUCACUUCCACUCAUUUCACCUCCCCUCUAAGAAGACAUUUCCCAUAAGCAAAAAAAUCAUUACAUGUUCAUUUUUCAUAAGAAUUUAUCACAGCUGUGAGCUCAUUUCAUCCAUUUCACCUCAUUUUUUCAUGAACGAUUCAUCCCAAUAACGCUUGAAAUAAGAUUUGAAACGAAUUGGAAAAGACUUGAAACGAAUUGGAAAAGACUUGGAACGAAUUGGAAAAGACUUGAACGAAUUGGAAAAGACUUGGAACGAAUAUUAAAUAACUGAUUACAAUUCCU